GGUCGUGUAGCUCAGGGGAUAGAGUACGUGCCUUCUAAGCAUGUGGUCGCAGGUUCGAAUCCUGCCACGAUCGCCA
rnacentral:tRNA from 23 species